rnacentral:tRNA from 1 species
GAGGACGUAGUCUAACGGGAAGGACAGCCGACUUUCAUCAACCGCGAUUUGCCUGAUGGGCCGAGGGCUGAUGGUUACCUACCUGGAUCGGCAGGCGCAGGUUCGAGUCCUGCCGUCCUCA